GGCAGAACACCACCUGACCAUCACCCCUCGUUCUGGAUCGUUCGGCCAUUCCCGAGCGACACUUCGCUCAUUUCUCUCUGCCACGUAUGUCUCGAGAACCCUGCUUCUUCCGCUCACUCCACGUCUCGAGGCCCCAGUGAACACCUAACCGAGUCUACCUCGAGCCUCGCCAACACCCAGACGGCAGAGAACUUCCUGGACUCUUCAAGGACUGGCCUCUCCUCUGCUGUCCUGGCUUUACGCUCUAUCUGCUUCCUGGCGUCGUCAACGAGUUAUGCUUAAGGCAUCGCAUUCCCUAGGUGUGGUGUUCUACAAGACUACCGUGGCUAGUCUCUUGGAGGGGGAGUUAUGUAAAGGGCAGAACACCACCUGACCAUCACCCCUCGUUCUGGAUCGUUCGGCCACUCCCGAACGACACUUCGCUCAUUUCUCUCUGCCACGUUUGUCUCGAGAACCCUGCCCGUUCAUUCCACGUCUCGAAGCCCCAGUGAACACCUAACCGAGUCUACCUCGAGCCUCGCCAACACACAGACGGCAGAACUCCCUGGACUCCAAGGAUUGGCCUCUCCUUUGCUGUCCUGGUUGCACCUCUACCUACUUCCCGGCCCCGUCAACGAGUCUGCCUCCAGUGUUGGUGAGAUUAGUGUUCCUCUGCCCCUCACUCGCUCUGGAGGGAGACUCAGUGAGAGCCAAGUGGUGUGCAAGGUGUCCCUCUUGUUUGUAUUGUGUGUACCUGUGUUUCUGCAAGUCUAGUAAACUUGGUACCAUUC